UACAGAGGUCUCAAGCGUUAGGCGGAAUCACUGGGCUUAAAGCGUGUGUAGGUGGGUUUGUAAGUACCUUGUGAAAUCCCAUGGCUCAACCAUGGAACUGCUGGGUAUACUGCGAAUCUUGAGCUGUCUAGAGGUUACUGGAACAAACGGUGGAGCGGUGAAAUGCGUAGAUAUCGAGAGGAACACCUGCGGCGAAGGCGGGUUGCUGGGCUGACACUGACGCUGAGGCGCGAAAGCUAGGGGAGCGAACGGG
rnacentral:rRNA from 1 species